UACGUCAGUGGCAGACGGGUGAGUAACGCGUGGGAACGUACCUUUUGGUUCGGAACAACUGAGGGAAACUUCAGCUAAUACCGGAUAAGCCCUUACGGGGAAAGAUUUAUCGCCGAAAGAUCGGCCCGCGUCUGAUUAGCUAGUUGGUGAGGUAAUGGCUCACCAAGGCGACGAUCAGUAGCUGGUCUGAGAGGAUGAUCAGCCACAUUGGGACUGAGACACGGCCCAAACUCCUACGGGAGGCAGCAGUGGGGAAUAUUGGACAAUGGGGGCAACCCUGAUCCAGCCAUGCCGCGUGAGUGAUGAAGGCCCUAGGGUUGUAAAGCUCUUUUGUGCGGGAAGAUAAUGACGGUACCGCAAGAAUAAGCCCCGGCUAACUUCGUGCCAGCAGCCGCGGUAAUACGAAGGGGGCUAGCGUUGCUCGGAAUCACUGGGCGUAAA
rnacentral:rRNA from 1 species